AGGUCGAAUAAUGUGUGAAAGUACACGAGCGGCGGACGGCAGAGUAACGCGUAGGAACGUACCCCAAAGUGAGGCAUAAGCCCGGGAAACCGGGUCUAAUACCGCAUAUUCUCUUCGGAGCAAAGCCUUGUGCGCUUUGGGAGCGGCCUGCGUAUGAUUAGCUUGUUGGUGAGG
rnacentral:rRNA from 1 species